GUCGACAAUACUUCAGAGAAUCAUUUCUAUAGUAUUCGACCUUCUCUUGGUUCCCUAAAGGAGCCACAGAUCCCACCCUGGUUGAUGAUUGAUAUCCUCGACACCCUAGAGUGAAGAAACUCUGGUUGCCCUCGCAUCCCGCGCAAGCGGGACGGUCGCGCUUCGGCGUGGCUGUAUAGAGGGCGUUUGAUGAUCUCGUCCCCUCCCGCGGUCUUGCCUUAGUGGCGCGCGGCUGGGGUGGGUGUCGAUGGACGUCUGACAGGC
rnacentral:snoRNA from 1 species